GUACUCGCUUCAGUGGUACAUAUACUAAAAUUAGAACAAUACAAAGAAGAUUAGCAUGGCCCCUGCGCAAGGAUGGCAUGCAAAAUUGUGAAGCAGUCCACAUUUUA